UACGGAGGAUCCAAGCGUUAUCCGGAUUUAUUGGGUUUAAAGGGUGCGUAGGCGGAAUAGUAAGUCAGUGGUGAAAGCCUGCAGCUUAACUGUAGAAUUGCCAUUGAUACUGCUAAUCUUGAGUACAUAUGAAGUGGGCGGAAUGUGUCAUGUAGCGGUGAAAUGCUUAGAUAUGACACAGAACACCGAUUGCGAAGGCAGCUCACUAAACUGUAACUGACGCUGAGGCACGAAAGCAUGGGGAGCAAACAGGAUUAGAUACCCCCGUAGUCC
rnacentral:rRNA from 1 species